GAUGAACGCUAGCGGCAGGCCUAAUACAUGCAAGCCGGACGGCAAGUUGAGUAGCAAUACUUGACCUAGAGUGGCGUAAGGGUGCGUAACACGUAUGCAAUCUGCCCACAGCCGGGAGAUAGCCCUCCGAAAGGAGGAUUAAUAUCCCAUAGGAAGAUGAGAUGGCAUCAUUUUAUUUUUAAACUACGGGGCUGUGGAUGAGCAUGCGGUUGAUUAGCUAGUUGGCGGGGUAAAGGCCCACCAAGGCGAUGAUCAAUAGGGGACCUGAGAGGGUGAUCCCCCACACUGGCACUGAGAUACGGGCCAGACUCCUACGGGAGGCAGCAGUAGGGAAUAUUGGACAAUGGGUGUAAGCCUGAUCCAGCCAUAGCCGCGUGCAGGAA
rnacentral:rRNA from 1 species